rnacentral:tRNA from 1 species
GUCUCUGUGGCGCAAUAGGUUAGCAUGAUUGGCUGUAAACCAAAAGGUUGGUGGUUCAAGACCACCCUGGGGUA